rnacentral:lncRNA from 1 species
AAACAUUCUGGAAGGGUGGGCAGGGCAGCUUAUAAUGCCCAGAACAAUGGCUCUGAAGUAAGCUGUGAUGGCUGCAGAUAGGCUGUAAACCUAGAGAAUACAUGGUCCUGUUCUGAGUCUCCUGUGUGCUGACUCUCAGACCUUGGGAAAGUUACUCAACCUCUUGCCUCCCUUUCUUCAUCUGAAGGAUGGGACUACUAAAGCACCUACCUUAUGGCCAUUAAAUGUUCAAUGAGCUGCCCAUGAGUCGUGAGUCACAUGGGAAGACUAAAGACCUGUGACACACAGUGCCAGAUAUAUCAAUACAAAAGAAUCUUCACAGAGAAACGACAAAGAAGAAAGGAGAGAUACAGUGCGAUAAGGAGUGGGGAGGGAAUGUGGGCUAAUAAAUUCAGGAAAGACUGCCUGGCGUGGUAGCUCAUUCCUAUAAUCUCAGCACUCGGGAAGAUGAGGCAGGUGAAUCACCUCAAGUUUGAGGCAAGCAUGGGCCACUUAGUGAGUUCAAGGACAGCUUGAACUAUACAGUGAGACUCUGUCUAAAAAAAAAAUCAAGAAAGAAUUAGAAAGAGGGGGGAAUCCCCUAAUGUCAUCAAAAUAAACACAAAAUUAAAAGGAGCACAUAACAGAGCAGUCACUGUGAAACAUACACUCACACAAAGGAGAUAAAAUCAACCAAAUGAAAAAGAAGUAAAGGAGAAAUGAUAGCAUUGAAGUCAGGCAUAAAGUUAUGGUACCUAAUUAGUUGGAGUCCCCUGAAUAAUAAAACAAAACCACACAGUAGAAAAAAUAAUAAAUGAUCCAGAAAGAAGGGGAAAAGAUGCGAGGAAAGUGGAUGAAAAAAGGAAUUAAGAUGUGUUAUGUGUAUGCACCAACUCCCCACAAGUACUAUAACAUUAUGUACUGAAAACAUGUACUAAUAAAAAAACUAGUAGUGUUCUAUAAAGAAAUAAUCUUUUAAAGAGCUAAACAAAAAGAUCAAGAUCCUGCUAAAAAGAAAGAAAAAAACAGUAGGAUUGGCAUCAGGCUUCUCCAUAGCAGCAGAAAUAUCAGACAACAGUGAAAAAAACCCAGAGGACGCAGCAGAAAGAAAAUGUGAGUCAGUGAAAGGGAUUUCAUUCCCCUCAAACUGUCUAAGAGUAAGGCCGCC